rnacentral:piRNA from 1 species
UCUGAAACCUACAUGGCUACUGGAGGUCUGU